ACUAUUACUUGACAACCUGAGCUAAGACUAAGUCUCCUUUGCAGGAAAAUAACCACAUACUAUAUUAUUAUUGUUUACUUUAUUCUUGUAUAAUUAUACCCUGCGUACGCAUGGCAAAUAAAAAUGAAUACAUGUACUUUCUGGUCACAAUGUAGUCCCAGGCCGAUUUUUUUCUAGAAGGAACAUAAAAUAUUCGACCUAGCAUAUUCAAUUAGAGUAAAGUUACAAAGUUACUAUAAAUACUCUAAUUAUACGAUGACCUUGUCCCCUCUCCCCUGCAGGUGACCUCCAAUGGUAACUGGAUGCACAUUCUCUACCAGUCCAGACUACAAGCUAAGAAGGUGAAAGACCGAUACAAUCAAAGCCAGCUGAAAUACCGUAUAGCGGGUAUAUUUCGAGGGUAUAAAUGUUCGCGGUUUUCGCGGAUUGAGCCUCUACCGCGAAAAUUUAUACCCACGAAAAUUUAUAUCUUUAUUGAAUAGUAGGCGUGUUCAGUAUUAUUGACCACACCUAUCGACAAUAAGAGGUGCCUCACCGUUAUAGGCUAGGCCUGGAUUCGAGGCUAACGGUGUGGUGGUAACAGCUGCAUGUUGAUGUGCGCAUGCGCCAAAAGGCUGGAACUCAGACCACGAAAAUAAAAUCCGCGAAAUCCUUUGUAAUGGUCCAUCUGCGAAAAUUUAUACCCUCGAAAUAUACCCGCUAUACGGUAGUUGCAGUGCUCUGGAGUACAGCAUAUAUUAUGCUGCACUACUAUUAUACUAAUCCCAAGAUACGAAGGUUAAGUUUUAGAAUAGUAGCCUUUUUGCAGCAUGCGUGCGUGCGAUAAAAAUUCGUGAGUAUAAAAUGUUCACAGUGCAUUCUUAUUGCUAACAUUUAUACCCUCAAAAUAUACCUGCUAUAUUUUCUUGGUAUCACAUGUUUACAAAUACAUUGCCUUAAGUAUGUGUCUAGGUGCAGGUGUAGCUGCUGUGGUAAACCUUGGUGAAGCCUGAGGCAUGUUUACCUACCUAGUUGCUGUGGUAAACCUUGGUGAAGCCUGAGGCAUGUUUACCUACCUAGCUGCUGUGGUAAACCUUGGUGAAGCCUGAGGCAUGUUGACCUACUUAGCUGCUGUGGUAAACCUUGGUGAAGCCUGAGGCAUGUUGACCUAGGAUCUCAGUAAGAAUGGUAAAGUCUAUGGAAAUGGGAUCAUGGUGGGAGUACAGCAGUGCAUCGACAAGUCUGUGAUGGAGAGUCGCCUUGCCUCCUCCACCACUCACCCCCUCACUAACCUCACACCCUCCACACCUGGGAAGAGGCCGAUUUCCAUACGCCCACUCACUGCCACCUACCAAUCAGCUGCCAGUCAGUAUCAGAUACUGUGGAGUGUGAUCACUUUCUCUGUCGGAUUCCUCCCUGACGGAAUGAUAGCCAAUGAGCAUUGCGAUGGCUGAUGAACGGUGUUGACGCAAUGUGAUUUCUACCCAGUGCUCUGAAUGUCAACCAAGCGCGGGUAAACGGCGGGUGUAACUAUGACUCUCUUAACAUAGCCAAAUGCCUCGUCAUCUAUAUAAUUAGUGAUGCGCAUGAAUGAAUUAACGAGAUUCCCACUGUCACUAUAAUUAUAUCUACUAUAUGGCGAAACCACAGCCAAGGGAACGGCUCGGCAAAAUCAACAGGUUAAAAAGACCCUGUUGAGCUUGACUCUAGUAAAGAGACAUGAGAGGUGUAGAAUAGGUGGGAGCUUCAGCACCGGUGAAAUACCACUACUUUCAUCGUUUCUUUACUUAUUCGAUAAGGCGGAGCUGGGCUUCACAACCCACCUUCUGGAUUCAAGGUCCUCUCUAAGGGCUUAUCCGAUCAUUGGACUGUGUGGAAUGGAGGUGGCACCACAACACAUGACUGGGAGUGCUCACGGCUUUGUGACUGUCCGUGCUAUUGCUCAAUGUGUGUAAUUGCAGUACUUAAUUAAUCUGCAAAGUUCACCUGUAAAACCUUAAGAUGUCACUUUCCUACCUGUCUAAUAGUAGUGGUCACCUAUUACUUGUGGGGGAAACUUCCCACACUAGUCCUGGUUGGUUAAAUGUAAGUAUGUACAAUUGCUCCAUAUCUGCCAAUUAUGUUAUGGACAUAUAUUCCAUAAUAAUAUUGUUGAUACUGCAUUUGGAUUCACAGGUGGUAUAAAACGACUCAGCUUCAUCAUUUAGUUCAUAGUAGAUCUAUCAGAAAAAAGACAAAAUAAUGUAUCUAGAAGCAGGUCUGCUGCUCCUGCUAGCUCUCCAGUGCCAUAAGCUAGUGCUUGCAUUAGUGACUACAGCUCAGAACGUUUGGCAAGCUGUACAUGCAGGGGAUCAGACACCACUUGAUGCUGGAGCCCCUCUUGAGCGACCUGUGCAGGAGACUGGUCCACCUAUUGGACAUGGAAACACUGUCCUAGAUCUAGUUCAUGCUAGAAUUGCAACUGGUGGAAAUUAUCCAGUAGUGCAGCCUCCUGUUCAAGAGACACAACCAGCUUUCCAGCUGCAAGAUGCCUUGCAACAAUCAGUUGGUGGACUUGGUAUUGCUCAGGAGUCACUGUACCAGAGGAACCUUCCUGCAGCAAUGGUGGUGGCAAGUCUGCAUGUUUAAAUUUAAGGUUCCUGUUCAGAGUGGAAAUUAUCAAUGAGCUGAAACUUUAAAAUCUUACAAAGCAACUGUGACUCUACUACUGUGUGUGUGUGUAUUGCUUUAAUGUUGCAUCUUAUUUUUGUACUGCACAUUGCUUAUAGUUGCACAUCAUUUAUUUUGUCCACGUGUUUUAUCAAAGAUCAUGCAUGGCUAAAACUAGAGCACUAAAGUGCAAACCCUCGGCUGGUGACAUGAUUAUAAAGAAACCAGAAGAGUGAUAUAUUGCAGUGCAUAAUUAUUAUUAUAAUGAUGUUGUUAUCAUAUGUGACAGCUGGGAAAACCAGACUAUUGGAGCAGACUAAAAUUUUGGUGAUUAAUGUACCAAGUGAUAGAGCAGAGCAUCGCCUACACAAUGGUAUGCUUAGUGUUCACAUACCUAGUUUCAUACCCGAGUUAUGCUCGUUAGAAACUCGAAGCCGUAAAAUGUAGUAUCGGCUCUCAAAGAUUGCUCAAUUAGGAAAAAUAAGGUAAUAACGAAAGUUUGGACAAAGCGUUUCGAUGGAAAGAGUUGGAUUUAGAGCAUCAGAUUUUACAGAGAGGUUCCUGUUCAGAGUGGACAAUUAUCAAUGAACUGCAAACUUUAAAAGCUUACAAAGCAACUGUGACUCUACUACUGUCUGUGUGUAUUGCUUUAAUGAUGCAUCUUAUUUUUGUACUGCACAUCGCUUAUAGUUGCACAUCAUUUAUUUUGUCCACGUGUUUUAUCAUCGCUAAAAUAAUGUCUCAAAGUUACUAUUUAAAAAGUUAAAAUACGAUAACCUUGUUCCCCCUCCCGUGCAGGUGACCUCCAAUGGUAACUGGAUGCACAUUCUCUACCAGUCCAGACUACAAGCUAAGAAGGGUCUCCUUUUGGUCAUUAUUACCAAUACGUAUAUAUUUCUGUUACGCUAGUUUUAAACGGGUAUUUACCCUAGUACUGCAUGCUUACCUGUACUUGUUGGGAUUUCUCCUAGGACAUGUACAGCACACACCAUUGUAGCGUGUAAUAUAUACUACCUGCUGAAUACCAUUUGUACUGUGUAUAUUAGCGCUCACAAAAGACUUUUCUUCCCUACAGCCCCUCAGUAGGUUGCCAAUGUCUAUGGUACCUGAAUCUCAUCUCUGUACUCCUUGAGUCUCUUGACAGUCCCUUCCUUACACAACCACACCUCAAGCGCACAAGCUGCUGGUCAUGAGACACUGAACACAAGAAUGCCAAUGGGCACAAUCCCAAUUAACCACGUUGGUAGUGUGUUGGCUGGAUGGUCGCUGGCGUAUGUGAUGGGACAGUACAGUUGGAGCACAGCUUACUGGCUCAUGGAGCUUGUCUCUGUCUCCAUGGUGAUCGGCUAUCUCUACCUACUGUGGGUCAUGAUGAGAUCCAGAGAACCAGUAGGAGGGACCAAGAAACACUAACAUGCUAUAUUCUUAGUUUAACCUCUGUUACCGUAACUUCACGUUUUCAUUGGCAUAUAAUUAAUGACAUGAUUUCUGACAACACAAAUGACACUAUUAAGUAACGAGUGUGAAUCGACCUAAUGCUG